rnacentral:rRNA from 1 species
CCUACGGGAGGCAGCAGUGGGGAAUAUUGCACAAUGGGGGAAACCCUGAUGCAGCGACGCCGCGUGAGUGAGGAAGUCUUUCUGUAUGUAAAGCUCUAUCAGCAGGGAAGAAAAUGACGGUACGUGACUACGACGCCCCGGCUAACUCCGUGCCAGCAGCCGCGGUAAUACGUAGGGGGCAAGCGUUAUCCGGAUUUACUGGGUGUAAAGGGGGCGUAGACGGCUAAUCAAGUCAGAAGUGAAAACCCAGGGCUCAACUUUGGAACUGCUUUUGAAACUGAGUAGCUAGAGUGCAGGAGAGGUAAGCGGAAUUCCUAGUGUAGCGGUGAAAUGCGUAGAUAUUAGGAGGAACACCAGUGGCGAAGGCGGCUUACUGGACUGUAACUGACGUUGAGGCUCGAAAGCGUGGGGAGCAAACAGGAUUAGAUACCCUUGUAGUC